rnacentral:hammerhead_ribozyme from 1 species
AUCCAGCUGACGAGUUCCAAAUAGAAAGAAACGCGCGUCCUGGAA